UGGGGAAUAUUGCGCAAUGGGCGAAAGCCUGACGCAGCCACGCCGCGUGCAGGAAGACACCCCUACGGGGCGUAAACUGCUUUUAUAUGGAAAGAACACCCUGUUCGGCAGGGUCUGACGGUACCAUAUGAAUAAGCACCGGCUAACUCCGUGCCAGCAGCCGCGGUAAUACGGAGGGUGCAAGCGUUGUCCGGAAUCACUGGGUGUAAAGGGUGUGUAGGUGGGGCUGUAAGUCAGAGGUGAAAGCCCACGGCUUAACCGUGGAACUGCCUUUGAUACUGCAGCUCUUGAGUCCUGGAGAGGUUGCUAGAAUUCGUGGUGUAGCGGUGAAAUGCGUAGAUAUCACGAGGAAUACCGGAGGCGUAGGCGGGCAACUGGACAGGUACUGACACUGAGGCACGAAAGCGUGGGGAGCAAACAGGAUUAGAUACCCCCGUAGUCC
rnacentral:rRNA from 1 species